GGUCUUUCAGGAUAGUCAGUGCUGGAGAAAGGAGUUGAGGACUUGGGAAACCUUACCUUCUGCAGGGCUUCAUUUGAGGCUAAAGCAUUGCCUGUUAAAUUUGAGGUGGACGUGGAGAGCCCAGAGUGAGCAGUGUUCUGUUCACUCUCUAGGGACAGCCUCUCCAUCAGGAAAGCAACCACGACCACCCUCCUUCCCAACCACCACUGUGGAGCAGAAGAAUUUGGGAAGAGGAGUGAGUGCUUCUCGGGCUCUCCAUCCAGGCAAUACCAUCUCUGGCCAUGACGGAGCCACGGUGGCAGCCUUCAAUUCGGAAACAGAAAGUCAGCGUUAACUGUGACCACAGGCUAACGCUACCCCAAAGGCACCAGCGACCAUGUCCCAAUCCUCACAUGAUGCGGGCAAGGAGGAUCAGGGAGAGCCGCGGAAAGACUUUACGGUGGAUGACUUAAGUCAAGGCCAGAUGAUGAGGUGUCCUCGGACUGGCUGCCCGCGGCUCUGGUUGGCUGACCACAGGUUCCUGGAUCCUGGCUCUCAUUUCUGGGAAACAGAAACUUAGGCCUAGUCUCCCAAACGGCCAGUUUGCAGCUGUCAUGGAGUCAGUCUGGCUCUCCUGACCUGGUGUUCCCAUUUCCCCUUCUGAUUUGCAACUGGAUCAAAUCAUUGAUUUGUCAGGGUUUUUUUUCCCUCCAAUCUUUUUCUUCCCACCUUGUCACUUGUCAGGGGCAGAAGUCGUUAUUAUUGAGAACAGUUACUGCCAAGCAAGUUUUCAUAUGGGAACAGUAAAAAGCCACAUCUGAAACCUGUCUAUACCUUAAUUUGAUGGCUAUUAGUAAAGCAAGCCUGUCUGCCGUUUUCGAAACAAGAAACCUAGCAGUUUAACCCGAUAAGUUAACCAAUGAACUAACGUCGUGGUGGAUUGUUUUGACAUAAGGAGCUAGUUGCCUGUAUGUCACUGCCCAGACAGUUGCUUGGGGCUCCUGCGUCUCUAUGGCACCGAGGGCAGAGGCAGCCUUUGGCCAUCAGCCCCAGAAGACGAAGAGGCUUUUCCUGCAGAGGAGGAACAUGGGAGACUGGCCUAUCCUUGUCUACAGCACCGUGUGGCGAUCAGUUCUGCCCUCCAUCCACAGCUCAGGCCAGGUCUUGGCAGCAGCAGGCAAGACAUCAGGACAGUUAUGCCCAGUGGUUAUCAUACCACCAUCCAGGUGGUGUCCUCUGCCAUUGUGCCCACCAAUUUUCAGAGACCUCGGUG
rnacentral:lncRNA from 1 species